AUUGAACGCUGGCGGCAUGCCUUACACAUGCAAGUCGAACGGUAACGCGGGGCAACCUGGCGACGAGUGGCGAACGGGUGAGUAAAGUAUCGGAACGUGCCCAGUAGUGGGGGGUAGCCCGGCGGAAGCCGGAUUAAUACCGCAUGAGACCUACGGGUGAAAGCGGGGGAUCGCAAGACCUCGCGCUAUUGGAGCGGCCGAUAUCAGAUUAGGUAGUUGGUGGGGUAAAGGCCUACCAAGCCGACAAUCCGUAGCUGGUCUGAGAGGACGACCAGCCACACUGGGACUGAGACACGGCCCAGACUCCUACGGGAGGCAGCAGUGGGGAAUUUUGGACAAUGGGCGCAAGCCUGAUCCAGCCAUGCCGCGUGUGUGAAGAAGGCCUUCGGGUUGUAAAGCACUUUCGGACGGAACGAAAUCGCGCGGACGAACAUUCCGCGUGGAUGACGGUACCGUAAGAAGAAGCACCGGCUAACUACGUGCCAGCCGCCGCAGUAAAAC
rnacentral:rRNA from 1 species